CGUUGGUGAUAAAUUUGAUAAGUCUACAAAAGUAUUAAACAAGUCCGUUAUGCAUGGAUUUUAUACUUGAUGACUUAUUUUCAAGACUUUGUAUGGUUGUGUGUAAAACCAUUUAUAUCUUAUAUUAAUCAACACUUAUCUUGCAAUUUCCUAAAUGUGUUUAUGUGUAUACAUUUCUAUGUAUAAAAAAUAUACAAAUCAAACGCAUAGUUAGGAAUCUUUAUAUACAAGUGAGUUCAUUUUAAUAGAAAUCAAAUUUUAUACGAAUCCUUUAACUAGAUUUUUUAAGCAUGACCAAACCAACACUCCACCACACCAUACCAUCAUCAUUAGAAGACCAACCACUAUUUUGAUCACUUAUUAAAUAAUUCAUAUUGUACACAUGCUUCUGUACGAUGAUUGUCAUACAAUUCAUUCAUGCUUAUACAUUAACACACGUUUAACUUGAUUAUAAAAAAAAUCAUAUUGACUUUUGACACCAAAAUCUCGGUCUACACACCUCAAAGACAUGAUAAUGUUUUGGAUUUGCUGAAUUCCUUGUCCACAUGUGUGAAAACUUGAACAUAAUAACAAUAAUAACAUCAACACUCAUUUUAUAAUACCAUCAUCUAGUCUUUAGAAGGAAUAUACAAACACACGCAACCUUCUGCUCUCUCUCUCAAGAAACUGGUGACCGGAGAUCGGAGCUCCGGCGACGCGCACCCCCUGCAAACCACCCUCCUCCUCCCUCUUCACUUUAAACCAUCCCAUAGCCCCCUGUUUCUCUCAGUUACACGGCCGGCCACCACCCAACCGGUGGUGGCGUACGGCGGCGGCAGUGGAUUCCGACGACCCUGAUGAUGAUGAUAAUGUUGAUAAAGCUGAUGAUGAUGAAUUCAAACUCCGACAGCCGUAUCUCACUCUGGUUCCGAUGAUGACGAUAUUGUCACUGAUGUUGACGAUGGUGACGAUACUGAUGGAGAUGAAUGGCAGCGACAGUGGUGCGAUGGUGUGGAGGAUCCGACGCAAAUAACUCCGGUCGUAUCAAUAACGGUGGUGGUGGGUUCGUGGUGGUGACAGUGGUGAGCGUCUAAGGUUGUGGAGGUGAUGAUUACUUCUGAUCGACUUGGAGAUGAGUUUCAGCUCGGUUUCGGUUCAGGCUCAACCAUGGUUCUGUUUCGGGUUCUUGGUUCGAGCCGGGUUAUAACGUUCCAGCUUCAUGAUGCGGCUCGGUCAACUCACGGUUCGGGUUACGUCUCGGCUCAGCUUGGGUUGAUUCGGGUCAAAGAUGUGUACGGUCAUCAGGUCAGUUUUGGGUUCAUGACUCGAUUUGGGUCCAGUUAAAACCAAGUCCACUGCAGGUUCUCGUUUCGAGUCAACUGGUCAGCCACGGUUCGGGUGCGGUUCGAUGGGCCAGAUUUUGGUUCGUAAUAAUUUUGGUCAACUGUGGUCAACCCCGGUCAACAUCAGGUCAACUGCGGUCAACAACAGUCAAACGUGACCCGGUAACAUUCAAAAACGUGAAAUCUCGUUAAUUAGUUAUGGAUUUUAGGUAGUUAGUUUACGCGACCGAGCUCGACCCGACCCGAUUCAAUUAGAGACUGGUUUAUGUUUCGAUAUUUUGACGAGAAAUUUUAUACAUAUAUUGUUUGAUUGAAAUAUUGUUGAAUUUUGAUAAAUAUAUCGACACUUUGAUUG